AAAAAAUUAAUAAUAAUAAUGUAUGCACUAACUGUAAGUCGCUCUGGAUAAGAGCAUCUGCUAAAUGACUGAAAUUUAAGCGAGAGGCGUCGCUGGAGCUGUGUAAUAAGAUGGGUGGACUGGAAACCCAGUGACAACACUGGGGUCUGCAGCUGCCAUUUUCCGGUGGGAAAGAGAAAUGGCCCUGUAUUUACCAGAAAAGGUAGCGCAUCCACCAUGGCAGAAGAGGAAGAUCCAGACUGUUGAUUGGGAAACAAGAACUAACAAUGAGGCAUGAGGAUUGGUUGUUGAGGGACCACUUGUCAUAUUGUCCAAGUCCAAUAGGAGUGCACCUCUCAGACCAUCUGGUCCAUGGACAUCCUGUGCCAGUGUGAUCCGAGCGGGAGCGUCCAGUUUUACAGCCCAUCGAGCCUGUGGACGGACAGGUUGCAGUUAUAAAUGAGAACUUGUUCUCAACUGGCUUACCUGGUUAAAUAAAGGUGGAAAAAAAAGAAGAGAAGCCGUGCCAGAUCAACACCACUCUCAGCAAGAAGAUCUGCUGGAAGAGAUGAACUCUCGCUCACUCUGGGGGUAAGAGAUAAUUUAAACAUCACAGAUAUAAAUUCCCACAGUGCCCAUGAUAAAAUGCAAUAUGAAUUGUGUUGUACUUCUGAAUGAAACUGUGAGGAGAUGCACUCAGACCAGCCUUUGUUAUUGAACUUACGUUAACUACAUUACUUUAGUUGGCUGCUUUGAGCAAGACUUGAAUGUAAUAUAACCUAUUCUAUGAGCCUAUUGUUUGUGUAUGAUCUUUAUUAAUUGUUCACUUGUUUUUCAACAAUGUCAAGUACAGGCAGGGAUGACUGGGGCCUUCAGCAAGUAAGACACAGGAUAAAAAAUAAUUUAAACAUCACAGAUAUAAAUUCCCACUGUGCCCAUGAUAAAGUUAACUACGUAAAUGUAAAUUACUUUAGUUGGCUGCUUUGAGCAAAGCUUGUAUGUAAUAUAACCUAUUCUGGGAGCCUAGUGUGUAUGAAUUAUGUGGAAUAUUUCUGGACCAUUGGCUUCCCUUAAAACAGGUACUAGCAGGAGGAGCAAUAUGAGUGUCAGAGGUCGUCACGCUGUAUGGUGAUGGAGGCUUUGGUGGUCCACACAACGAAGAAGCAGGUGUUCCUUCUAGUGAUGUGGAGCUGACCUUUGACCUGGUGCCAGUAAGGGAGGUCUUCACGGAGGUGUUAAGACCCUCCCUCCUUAAUAUAGAAAUCCUUUGACUUCUCUGCCUCUUCAAUGGUAAGGUCCCUUGCACCAUAGUGUGACGACCCUCCCACUCUGUCUGCCAAAUUCUUUCUCUCUGCUCUUGUUUUCCUUAAUAGGAUGUCGGUGGGCGGAGCUGGGAGGGUCGUCAGAGAAAUGGGACACACCUGGGCUCGGGUGUGUCCCGGAGAUAAAUACAACUCCCCCCCAUACACCGGGGAGACUCUUGGUUGUGGCAUUUUGGGGCUUCUUUGUGUUCAUUUGUUUUGGCACCUCUAAACACCCCUCAUUAUCACUAUCUAUGCACGCAUCCAUUCACUUACACUACUGACUACACACCAUUGUUACUUGGAUAUAGUUUACUUUAUUGUUAUUUAUAUGUUUGUUUCUUUUUCUCCGUGUUGUCUCCCUCUUUGUUACGGGCUACAAGCCGUUUCGUAACAAUAGGGACCUUGACCUCCACCACUGCUAUGGUGCCCACCAGGAGGCACCCAGGAUCCCCGACCCAAAGCCCCGACUCCUGCACAUCCAUCCCUGUAGCCAUUUUGAAUGCUUUGAUGCCCUCCUCUUCGUUAUCUGUGCCCCACUUUAGAGACAACACCCCAUCCAACGACUGAUCUGAGGACCCUUUUUAGCAGCGGAUGGCCCUAACCACUGUUCCAUAAUUGCUGACCGUCAACCUUCCUCUCCUCAUGGUGUGCCAGUUGGGGAAGGAUAUUAAGUGCCACAUGCCUUUCAAUGCAUGACUUUGAACACCUUGAAAUGCAUUUGUUGUAAGAAACGUGAUAUAUAAAUAUAGUUUGAUUUGAUUGAUGACAUUACAGCUGUAGAAUAUUUAAUAAACUGUAGGUUUUCCAUAAACUUUUAAUUGAUAUUUUGGGAUUUUAUCACUUGACAUCAAUCAUAUAGUGGGAAGGAUCUUAUAAAUCUAGACUGUGUGAAUGCAUGUACCAUUCAGAAUGAAUAAAUAAAUACUAUGCCUUUUGAA